AAUCUAACAUAUUUCCACCUUUUUACACUAAAAGAAAUAAAAAUACGAAAGAUAAAACACUAAAAAAAGGAUAAAAACACAUUUUUUAGGUCAGGGGGUGUAAAUAGCAGAUCUGGGCUGCACAGGGGGUGUGAAUAGCAGACAAUGGGUUCUGGGCUUAAGGCCCAACGCCCAACCAGCAGAUCAACCAAAAACAAAAAAAAGCGAAAUAGGAAAAACAGGUUUUGUGAUUAAAGCCUCACUAACUAAUACUUAAAACAGGUUUUUUUUUAGAAAAAAGAAAUUGCUAUAAAUAGCACUUUGUUAGCAGAGAAAACGUUUAUUCUUUCAUUAUCUUUCUUCUCUCUUUCUCAGUUCCCUCUUCUCUGCUAGGGUUCAUAAGGAGAGAUGAAUCUUCAUCUUCUCCGGUGGGCUGCCACCACGGAGCUUAGAUUCCGGCGCGGCGGCUGCCGUAACAGUACGACGGCGCCGCCGGAACACUUUUCUUCUUUUUUAUUUUUUUUAUUUUUUUUUUUUGUGUUAAACACUAAAUCCACCCUCAAAACACCCAAAAUCAAACCCAAGAAACUGUUUUUCGAAUCCAAAUCCGAACCAAGACAAAAAGCAAUUAUUCAAAAUAUUUGAUCUAAGUUCUGUGAUUCGUUUUUUAUUCUGGUAAACACACAAAAAUCAAAACAAACCCAAAAGGAAGACUUUUAAACAAAAUAGGAAAAAAAAAAAAAAAAAAAAAAGAUAAGUUAAGGUCGAACUAACCCUUGAAGACCAAAAGAUUCGGACUCCUCUUCUUCCCUGCUUUCUUUCUUUGAUAUGUUUUUACUCUUGUGAAAAUUUUAUGUGUUUUCUCUCAAUUGAAAUUUUCUCUUCCCCUUUUUUUUUUUUUCCGCGUGUGUUUUCGCUCUAUUUAUAGAGCUCUCAAGAUCAAAGUUGACCUUUGAUCUAGAGUGUGAAAGGGAUGUACUGUUGCUUGUUGUAGUUAAAGUUGCAGCAAAAGGUGAAGAGAAAGAGGAGGCAAGGAGGCGCAGCAGUACCGGUUGCAGUACUGUUGCGUGUUUUUUUUUCUUUUUUUUUUUUGUAUUGUUUAAAAUUAAAGAAGAAAAAAAAAAUAACAAAUAAUAAAAUAAGAUAAAAGGGAGGGGAGCGUGCUGUUGCUGUUUUUGAACAAAUUUGAUUUUUUUUGAUUUUUUUUAAUAAAAAAAAAAGAUGAAUAAAAUAAAUAAUAAAAAAAAA